ACACGCUUUUCAAAACUAAAAAACCGGGGCAGACCCAACACAUAAAAUCCGUAGCUCACAGACCCUCUUAUCUUCAUCGUCCUUCUCCCUCAAUCCACUGUUCUGUUCACGAGUCAUGGUGGGUCGAGUCCUGAAUUCCGACCACCUUGGAUGACCCAUUUGAGCAAGUAACGGUGUCGCUCUACCUCUAUUUGCUGAACAACGAUCCUAGAGUUAACCGUCGUGUUAUGGGCUUCGAUAUCCUGGAUUACAGGUUUUUUUUUGGUAAGUAAGCUUUGAGAUUUGAUUUUGUCGUGGGAUUUGAGAAUUGGGGAUUUUUUGAGAUUUUGAAAUUUAUGGGUGCUUCAUUGAUUUUGUUGCAGGACCAUAUAGAGGAAGCUGAGAAAACAUUUUUUAUGCGAAGCUGAGCUCUCAAACAAACCCCCAAUCAGUAAUCAGUGAAAAGCGCUUUUCUUUUAUGGAUUGGAUUUUAAAGCUUGUGAUAUAUAAUGGAGGAUGUCCAGGAGCAGCAAAGUCAAUCACUUGGUUGGAAGACCUCUUGAUAAGCCAUGUGGUUGCAUUCUAGACUUGGCUGAAUCUAAUUGCUGACUUGGGUUGUUUGAAAUCUAUAGUUAUGGGAACCUUUUCACAACUGCAGGUUUUCAUAAAUGGUUUACACCAAGAAAACUGCCACUGCCAUUUACAUUGCAUAGGGUAUGAACUGCUUCUUGGUAUUUUCUUCUUCAUUCACAUUUUUCUUCAUUGGUCUUGAGCCCCCUUGCAGAACUUUAUUUUAUUUUUAAUUUAUUUAUACAGGGAGUUUCUCAAGGUUGUUGCAGAAUUAAUGGACGUGUUUUGCAAAAAAUCAAAAGCCUGAAGUGCUCUUUUCUUAUUUUAGUUUCAUUCGAUCAAUAACAAUGAACCUUUUUAAGCAGUUCUCUAGCAUCAUAGUUGAGAUAAGUUAACUUGCUAUUUGAUUUCAUCUGGUUCUUAUGGUGGUCCAAAACUAUUGAAAUGAAAACUGAGAAUAGAUUCGUAAAGAUUUGUAGCAUGUUGUAGCAGUUAGUCUGAUGUUAAGUGCAUCAACAGAAAGAAAUAGAUUCCUUGGAUAGUGACUUAAGACCAUUGCAUGAACAUUUAACUACUGGGAUAUAUUCUAGUUUCUAUCUCUGAGAAUAGUGAUAAAGUUACUUGUUUUUGUCUUCUGAAAGAAAAUGAAGAGAAAGUUAUGAUAUUUGAAACAAAAUAAUGUACACUAAAUAGAAAUUCAUGUCAGGAAAGUCAUUUAUAAUCAAUCUGUAGUGCUUACUCAAGAAGUGGCCGGGUUAUUAUAUAUAGGUUGCAUGAGUAUCCCUCCAUGGGCAACAAUGAGAGGACAGGAUGUAGAGCGGCUUCCAUCAACCUCAACUUGCUACAAUACUUUGUAGGUAUAGUAACACAGGGUUCAGAAGAGCUACCUACUACUACUUAUAUCUGCUUUUAACUGGUGUUGCAGCUUCCUACUUACAAGCGUCCAAGCACGUUGAGAGAAAAGUUCUAUAUGCAAUUAGUUCUAAAGCAGGUUUUGAACUUUCUUGAAGAUAAGCCUUCAGAAUCGUGAAGGUUAUCAUUUCAGAGGAAGAUAUAUCAAAGCACAUCAAUUACAAUUGUUAUAUGUGACAAGUUGCAUAAGCUUGUCCACCUUUCUCUUGGAUCUUGUUGUCAUGGAAGUAUUGAAAUUGUUUUAGGCUUUUAAAUUAGUUUUCAAGGGACAUGUACUUAUGAACAUGAUCAACAAGUGAUAAUGUGGAUUGUCCUCAGCAAUACAAUGUAUUUAGUUAAUACAAUUUCUAUUAUAUAGAAGUUUUAUUAGUAUUAGAGUUUCAUGUUCA